rnacentral:rRNA from 1 species
AUUGAACGCUGGCGGCAUGCUUUACACAUGCAAGUCGAACGGUAACAGGCCGCAAGGUGCUGACGAGUGGCGAACGGGUGAGUAAUGCAUCGGAACGUGCCCAGUCGUGGGGGAUAACGCAGCGAAAGCUGCGCUAAUACCGCAUACGAUCUAUGGAUGAAAGCGGGGGACCGUAAGGCCUCGCGCGAUUGGAGCGGCCGGUGUCAGAUUAGCUAGUUGGUGGGGUAAAGGCCCACCAAGGCGACGAUCUGUAGCUGGUCUGAGAGGACGACCAGCCACACUGGGACGGAGACACGGGCCAGACUCCUACGGGAGGCAGCAGUGGGGAAUUUUGGACAAUGGGCGCAAGCCUGAUCCAGCAAUGCCGCGUGCAGGAAGAAGGCCUUCGGGUUGUAAACUGCUUUUGUACGGAACGAAACGGUCUGGGUUAAUACCCUGGGCUAAUGACGGUACCGUAAGAAUAAGCACCGGCUAACUACGUGCCAGCAGCCGCCGCAGUAA